rnacentral:rRNA from 1 species
GACGUAGGGGCCAAGCGUUAUUCGGAAUUAUUUGGGUGUACGGUAAAAGCGCUCGGUUAGGCGGGAAAACAAGUUCCGUGAUUGAAAUUACCUCGGCCUCAAAACUGAGGAACCGGCUCGGAUACUGUUUUCUUGAGGCAUUCAGAGGGUGAUGGGAAUUCCCGGUGUAAGCGGUGAAAUCGUAGAUAAUCGGGAGGAACA